UACGUAGGGGGCAAGCGUUGUCCGGAUUUAUUGGGCGUAAAGAGCGUGUAGGCGGCCAGACAGGUCCGUUGUGAAAACUCGAGGCUCAACCUCGAGAUGUCGAUGGAAACCGUCUGGCUAGAGUCCGGAAGAGGAGUGUGGAAUUCCUGGUGUAGCGGUGAAAUGCGCAGAUAUCAGGAAGAACACCUAUGGCGAAGGCAGCACUCUGGGACGGUACUGAAGCUGAGACGCGAAAGAGUGGGGAGCGAACAGG
rnacentral:rRNA from 1 species